rnacentral:rRNA from 1 species
UACAGAGGUCUCGAGCGUUAGGCGGAAUCACUGGGCUUAAAGCGUGUGUAGGCGGAUCGUUAAGUACCUUGUGAAAUCCCACGGCUCACCCGUGGAACUGCUUGGUAUACUGGGUGUCUUGAGCCACUUAGGGGCUACCGGAACAAAUGGUGGAGCGGUGAAAUGCGUAGAUAUCAUUUGGAACGCCAAUGGUGAAAACAGGUAGCUGGGAGUGUGCUGACGCUGAGACACGAAAGCCAGGGGAGCAAACGGG